GGCGAGUGAAGCGGGAAGAGCUCAAAUUUGUAAUCUGACAGCAAUGUCCGAGUUGUAAUCUCGAGAAGUGUUUUCCGUGUUGGACCGCAUACAAGUCUGUUGGAAUACAGCGUGCUAUAGGUGAGAACCCUGUCUACGAUGCGGACUCCCAAUACUUUGUGAUACACUUUCGAAGAGUCGAGUUGUUUGGGAAUGCAGCUCAAAUUGGGUGGUAAAUUCCAUCUAAAGCUAAAUAUUGGCGAGAGACCGAUAGCGAACAAGUACCGUGAGGGAAAGAUGAAAAGCACUUUGGAAAGAGAGUUAACAGUACGUGAAAUUGUUGGAAGGGAAACGCUUAAACUCAGACUUGCUGUCGCAAGACUUGCAGGCCAGCAUCAGUUUUGAGGGGUGCAAAAUCAAUUAGGGAAGGUAGCAGUCUCGGCUGUGUUAUAGCCCUUUUUAGGAUUCACCUUUUGGGACUGAGGAACGCUGUGUAUCUUCUUGC
rnacentral:rRNA from 1 species